rnacentral:misc_RNA from 1 species
AGAUCCCCAAGAGCAAGGCCAGCCUGAUUAUUAUAAUAAAGCAUCAGCAGUGACAACAUUGCAAUUAUUAGCACAAUUACAUAGAAUGUACUAAGGAAUUAAUUAGGAAACUUAACAAACCAUCCAAACUUUUCAAUACAUGGACAUAGACACAAACACACGCACACACAGGGAGCUUCAUCGAGCUAUUAAUUUCAAACAUUCCAGGGACCUAGCAACAAGAAAUUGAGCUUGACAGUGCACAAGACUAUCAGAAACAAAGGGAGCACAAUAAUAUUAAGCUGCAACUGAUAUAGCUGAGAAUACCAAUGCACGCAGUUCAUUAGGUAUUACUUGGGAGAUUUUAUUAUUAGGAUUUAACUUUUAUUGAUUGCCUACAUUGUAGUUAGCUUGGUUCCUACAAAAGAAGUAUUGAAAUUGCAUGUCCUACAAUUUAUUCUCCCUUUCCUCUUCUUCCUUUUCCUCUUUUCUUCUACUUUUUCUACAUCACAACUCACAGUCAACCAAUACUUAUGAAGGACAACUUUUUAAUUCUGCCAACUGCUAUCAUCUUUUCCUAGGCUGGUACAAGAUCUGUUAUAAUUAUCAUUCACAGAAACCACAUUUAAAUGUUUUUUAGAAUAUUUUUGUAUUAUCAUGCUAACAUGGGCAGGAAGUCACCAAUCCGUACCUAGCCAAUACCUAACAGAGAUCUACAAGGAACUUUCUCUUACUACAACUAACUAAUUACUAUAUUAGGCCUAUUCAAUUUUCUCUACAUGAUCCCUGCUUCAAUAUUAGGCCACCCGCAAAUGUAUUUGCUUGUAAACUUCACACUCCGGAUGUUUAUGCUUAAGACAUAAGGGGGUGUAUUGUCUUAUAUUGGUUUGGGAUAAGGACUUUGUAUGAUAUAUAAGACUUGGACAAGCCUCCUCCCUUUGAGCUAGUUUUUGGAGUAGAGUUAAGCCCAAUCCAUUUUCUCUAUGCUAUUAAUCCACAUCUCCAAAAACAAGUAAUGUGAGAGUGAGAUGCGCAAAAGAUUGGUCAAACCAACCAACAAAUGGAGUAGUAAUUAUUAAUUAUAUUCUUAAGUUAGUACAUGUCUGAAUGAUCAAGCACUCAAAUAAUAAUUCAAUAAUAACAUAAGAGAAAGGUGCAACAUAUUUUUUAGAAAAAUGAAUACAAAUUCAAAGAAACAACAUGUAACCACUAAAAUAUCUGGAUGAAAAGGAAUGAAAACUUUCUAAAAAAAAAUAUAAGAAAAGCAGAAUCAGUUUGAUAACCAUCAAAUAACAAGAAACUUACCCUGACAGUAAUAUAGGAGGCUG